rnacentral:rRNA from 1 species
UACGUAGGGACCAAGCGUUGUCCGGAAUUAUUGGGCGUAAAGCGCGUGUAGGCGGCUUUGCAAGUCGGGUGUGAAAGCCCUCAGCUCAACUGAGGAAGUGCGCCCGAAACUGCAGAGCUUGAGUACCGGAGAGGAUGGCGGAAUUCCCCAAGUAGAGGUGAAAUUCGUAGAUAUGGGGAGGAACACCGGUGGCGAAGGCGGCCAUCUGGACGGAUACUGACGCUGAGACGCGAAAGCGUGGGGAGCAAACAGG